GUAGAGAUCAGCCUAUGAAUGUUCAUAAAAGUUGAUCCAUGAAAAAGAGAAGAGAUGCUGAACAGAGGAAAGCUUUAGAGCCACAGAGCAAGACGAACUAUUUUUCUCAUGCUCACUGGAUGUUAAAAAGGAUAUUUUCAUUUCAUUCGAACAAAGGAAGAUAAUUAAACUACAAGAUCCUGUGGAUCGGAGAUCAGUGACGAAGCAGCUCUUCUUUGUGUGACGCAGAUUAUUUUCUACAGUUUCACUGGUUCCUUACUGGUUGGGCUUCACUUGUUUGUUUUUAAGGGAUACUUUAAAAAUGGGUCCUGGAGUGAAAGAGAACGAAACAACAGCAACAGGAGGAAGAAAACAAUUUCAACUCAU